AUAGUAGCUAUAGGAAUUCAGAAAAAAGCUUGAUUUUGUCGGACACUGUAAUCAUUACGAUCAAGUAAUUUCUUAUAGCGUUCAACCAAGUCGCUGAUACGUAGUGAGACGUAUGUAGAAAACCUGCAGUGUUGGGCUUGUCAAACAUACCAUACAAAAUGCCAUAGAAAACAGAAAUUACAACGAGAUACAUAUUUACAGUAUAGGAUAUGUUUAAUUUAAUAAAUUGCAUAUACCAUCAUAUUCGCGGAGAACCCUGAUGUUGAAUUUCCAAAUAUACUUGUUUCUCAUUUGUUUCAUGCUAGUGGAAGCAAGUUCGUGAUUAUUAUGUGGAAGUUAUCACAGGUCGUGUUAAGAAAAUAUAUUACUUCUACAAAUAUUCACGAUGUUAUGUUUGUUCCUCAAGUGGGAAUUGAAGCAAAUGUAGGGAAAAUUUUUUAAAAAAGACCUAUGCAAAGAUUUGUUCUAAUAUUACAGAUCAACGUCAUAAAUUAAUGGAAAUGGAAAACACAGCUAACACAUUUUUAAAGCAGGAGGAGCAAAAAUUGAACGACAUUAAAACGGAAAUUUUUGAAACGGAACAAGUAAUUAAAACUCUUGCAGACAAAGCUUCUGUUCAUCGUACAUUAAAAAAGCCUUGGCAGAUAUGAAUAAUGAAGAUGUGAUACAAAUGUGGAAGUCAUCUAUACAGAAAUGCGUAAAUUAUUUGCAAGACAAAAACUCAAUUUUGAACAUGUAUAUGCAUAUAAAUCAACGAUCAAAAUACAUGUGCAUAUAUAAUCUAGUUUAAUUCACCGCGACUACGAAGUGUCUUCAUAGAAACCAGAGUUUCCACUUCAAUACACAAAUGAACAAAUAUUCUGACUUCUCUUUUAUUAUGUUUGUCGUAAACAAGUAUAGUAUGGGUAGAGUAUUUUAUUUUUACAGUUUCAGAACGCUAAUUUAAAUUCGUCAGUCUGUAUAAUAUACAUAUUAAUGUAAAACAGGCAAUGUGUAUUUAUGUAUAACUUCUUAAAAUUAUUAUUACUUUAUUGCAUAAAAGAAAGAUUUGAAGGUUUGAUUCAUGACAAUAGUCCAUAAAAGAAUGCAAACUAAUUAUUUAUUACAACUUUUAUAAAAAAUAUAUAGGUUUUAAAACUCUU